GGUAGUGUGUCCGAGUGGUCCAAGGCGCUGGAUUGAGGUUCCAGUAUCUGCGGAGGCGUGAGUUCGAAUCCCACUGCUGCCA
rfam:Loxodonta africana unplaced genomic scaffold scaffold_2, whole genome shotgun sequence.